GGGUUGUGAGGUUAAGCGACUAAGCGUACACGGUGGAUGCCCUGGCAGUCAGAGGCGAUGAAGGGCGUGCUAAUCUGCGAUAAGCGCCGGUAAGGUGAUAUGAACCGUUAUAACCGGCGAUACCCGAAUGGGGAAACCCAGUGUGAUUCGUCACACUAUCAUUAACUGAAUCCAUAGGUUAAUGAGGCGAACCGGGGGAACUGAAACAUCUAAGUACCCCGAGGAAAAGAAAUCAACCGAGAUUCCCCCAGUAGCGGCGAGCGAACGGGGAGGAGCCCAGAGCCUGAAUCAGCAUGUGUGUUAGUGGAAGCGUCUGGAAAGGCGCGCGAUACAGGGUGACAGCCCCGUACACAAAAGCGCAUAUGCUGUGAGCUCGAUGAGUAGGGCGGGACACGUGGUAUCCUGUCUGAAUAUGGGGGGACCAUCCUCCAAGGCUAAAUACUCCUGACUGACCGAUAGUGAACCAGUACCGUGAGGGAAAGGCGAAAAGAACCCCGGCGAGGGGAGUGAAAAAGAACCUGAAACCGUGUACGUACAAGCAGUGGGAGCCCCACCACUAAGCCAGUGGUGAACUCCACAUACGCAUCCUUUGCUGAGGAGACGGUUAACGGAGCGAAAGCGACGUUCAACCUCAAAAGAAGCAGAGGGGGCUUAGUGGUGGGGUGACUGCGUACCUUUUGUAUAAUGGGUCAGCGACUUAUAUUCUGUAGCAAGGUUAACUGUAUAGGGGAGCCGGAGGGAAACCGAGUCUUAACCGGGCGUUAAGUUGCAGGGUAUAGACCCGAAACCCGGUGAUCUAGCCAUGGGCAGGUUGAAGGUUGGGUAACACUAACUGGAGGACCGAACCGACUAAUGUUGAAAAAUUAGCGGAUGACCUGUGGCUGGGGGUGAAAGGCCAAUCAAACCGGGAGAUAGCUGGUUCUCCCCGAAAGCUAUUUAGGUAGCGCCUCGUGAAUUCAUCUCCGGGGGUAGAGCACUGUUUCGGCUAGGGGGCCAUCCCGGCUUACCAACCCGAUGCAAACUGCGAAUACCGGAGAAUGUUAUCACGGGAGACACACGGCGGGUGCUAAUGUCCGUCGUGAAGAGGGAAACAACCCAGACCGCCAGCUAAGGUCCCAAAGUCAUGGUUAAGUGGGAAACGAUGUGGGAAGGCCCAGACAGCCAGGAUGUUGGCUUAGAAGCAGCCAUCAUUUAAAGAAAGCGUAAUAGCUCACUGGUCGAGUCGGCCUGCGCGGAAGAUGUAACGGGGCUAAACCAUGCACCGAAGCUGCGGCAGCGACACCGUGUGUUGUUGGGUAGGGGAGCGUUCUGUAAGCCUGUGAAGGUGUGCUGUGAGGCAUGCUGGAGGUAUCAGAAGUGCGAAUGCUGACAUAAGUAACGAUAAAGCGGGUGAAAAGCCCGCUCGCCGGAAGACCAAGGGUUCCUGUCCAACGUUAAUCGGGGCAGGGUGAGUCGACCCCUAAGGCGAGGCCGAAAGGCGUAGUCGAUGGGAAACGGGUUAAUAUUCCCGUACUUGGUGUUACUGCGAAGGGGGGACGGAGAAGGCUAUGUUGGCCGGGCGACGGUUGUCCCGGUUUAAGCGUGUAGGUAUGUGUUCCAGGUAAAUCCGGUUCACUUUAACACUGAGGCGUGACGACGAGGCACUACGGUGCUGAAGCAACAAAUGCCCUGCUUCCAGGAAAAGCCUCUAAGCAUCAGGUAACAUCAAAUCGUACCCCAAACCGACACAGGUGGUCAGGUAGAGAAUACCAAGGCGCUUGAGAGAACUCGGGUGAAGGAACUAGGCAAAAUGGUGCCGUAACUUCGGGAGAAGGCA
rnacentral:rRNA from 2 species